UAAUACGGAGGGUGCAAGCGUUAAUCGGAAUUACUGGGCGUAAAGCGCGCGUAGGCGGCUAUAUAAGUCGGAUGUGAAAGCCCUGGGCUCAACCUGGGAACUGCAUUCGAUACUGUAUAGCUAGAGUUUGGUAGAGGGAAGUGGAAUUCCACAUGUAGCGGUGAAAUGCGUAGAUAUGUGGAGGAACACCAGUGGCGAAGGCGACUUCCUGGACCAAAACUGACGCUGAGGUGCGAAAGCGUGGGUAGCAAACAGGAUUAGAUACCCUGGUAGUCCACGCCGUAAACGAUGUCAACUAGCCGUUGGGGGAAUUUGUCCCUUAGUGGCGCAGCUAACGCGAUAGGUUGACCGCCUGGGGAGUACGGUCGCAAGAUUA
rnacentral:rRNA from 1 species